UACGGAGGGUGCAAGCGUUAAUCGGAAUUACUGGGCGUAAAGCGUGCGCAGGCGGUUUUGUAAGACCGAUGUGAAAUCCCCGGGCUUAACCUGGGAACUGCAUUGGUGACUGCAAGGCUUGAGUGUGUCAGAGGGAGGUGGAAUUCCGCGUGUAGCAGUGAAAUGCGUAGAGAUCGGGAGGAACACCAGUGGCGAAGGCGGCCUUCUGGACCAAUACUGACGCUCAUGCACGAAAGCGUGGGGAGCAAACAGG
rnacentral:rRNA from 1 species